UACGGAGGGUGCGAGCGUUGUCCGGAAUCACUGGGCGUAAAGGGCGCGUAGGCGGGCUGCCAAGUCCGUAGGUGAAAUCCCCCGGCUCAACCGGGGAACGGCCUCGGAUACUGGCGGCCUGGAGGGGGGUAGGGGCGUGCGGAACUGUGGGUGGAGCGGUGAAAUGCGUUGAGAUCCACAGGAACUCCGGUGGCGAAGGCGGCACGCUGGACCCUUUCUGACGCUGAGGCGCGAAAGCCAGGGGAGCGAACGGG
rnacentral:rRNA from 1 species